rnacentral:rRNA from 1 species
CGGACGGGUGAGUAACGCGUGGGUAACCUGCCCUGUACAGGGGGAUAACAGUCAGAAAUGACUGCUAAUACCGCAUAAGACCACAGCACCGCAUGGUGCAGGGGUAAAAACUCCGGUGGUACAGGAUGGACCCGCGUCUGAUUAGCUGGUUGGUGAGGUAACGGCUCACCAAGGCGACGAUCAGUAGCCGGCCUGAGAGGGUGAACGGCCACAUUGGGACUGAGACACGGCCCAA